rnacentral:rRNA from 1 species
AUUGAACGCUGGCGGCAGGCCUCACACAUGCAAGUCGAGCGAGCGGCGGACGGGUGAGUAAUGUCUGGGAAACUGCCUGAUGGAGGGGGAUAACUACUGGAAACGGUAGCUAAUACCGCAUACCAUCAGAUUUGCCCAGAUGGGAUUCGCUAGUAGGUGGGGUAAUGGCUCACCUAGGCGACGAUCCCUAGCUGGUCUGAGAGGAGGACCAGCAAAACGGGAACUGAGACACGGUCCAGACUCCGACGGGAGGCAGCAGGGGGGAAUAUUGCACAACGGGCGCAAGCCUGAUGCAGCCAUGCCGGGUGUGGGAAGAAGGCCUUCGGGUUGUAAAGCACUUUCAGCGGGGAGGCGUUACCCGCAGAAGAAGCACCGGCUAACUCCGUGCCAGCAGCCGCGGUAAUAC